rnacentral:rRNA from 1 species
CAGUAGCCGCGGUAAUACCAGCAGCCCAAGUGGUGGUCGCGAUUAUUGGGCCUAAAGCGCUCGUAGCCGGGCCGGUAAGUCCCUUGUGAAAUCGGACGGCCUAACCGUUCGGCGUGCAAGGGAUACUGUCGGUCUUGAGGCCGGGAGACGUCCGAGGUACUCCGGGGGUAGCGGUGAAAUGUUCUGAUCCUCGGGGGACCACCGGUGGCGAAGGCGUUCGACGAGAACGGGCCUGACGGUGAGGGGCGAAGGCUAGGGGAGCAAACGGGAUUAGAUACCCGAGUAGUCCCUGUCUCUUAUA